AAAUAAAAUUCAGUCAGAAAAAUGUUCAGUUUCAAAAAACAGUUUAGUUACAAAAAAAGAUUCAGUCACAAAUAAGGUUCAGUUACAAAAAUAUUCUGGUACAAAAAGGUUCAGUUACAAAAAAAUGGUUAAGUUACAAAAAAGUUUCAGUUACAAAAAAGUUUCAGUUACAAAAGCGGCUUAAUUACAAAAAGGUUCAGCUACAAAAACGGUUCAGUUCCAAAAAAGGCUCAGUCACAAAUAAGGUUGUUACAAGAAUAUUCAGUUACAAAAAUGUUCAGUUACAAAAAAUGGUUUAGUUACAAAUAAGGUUCUGUAUUUUUUUUU